GGGCGGCGAGCGGCGGACGGGUGAGUAAUGGCUGGGAACCUGCCCGAUAGAGGGGGAUAACAGUUGGAAACGACUGCUAAUACCGCAUGAUGUCUACGGACCAAAGGAGGGGAUCUUCGGACCUUUCGCUAUCGGAUGGGCCCAGUUGGGAUUAGCUAGUUGGUGAGGUAAUGGCUCACCAAGGCGACGAUCCCUAGCUGGUUUGAGAGGAUGAUCAGCCACACUGGAACUGAGACACGGUCCAGACUCCUACGGGAGGCAGCAGUGGGGAAUAUUGCACAAUGGGCGCAAGCCUGAUGCAGCCAUGCCGCGUGUGUGAAGAAGGCCUUCGGGUUGUAAAGCACUUUCAGCAGUGAGGAAGGUUACGUAGUUAAUACCUGCGUGAUUUGACGUUAGCUGCAGAAGAAGCACCGGCUAACUCCGUGCCAGCAGCCGCGGUAAUACGGAGGGUGCGAGCGUUAAUCGGAAUUACUGGGCGUAAAGCGCAUGCAGGCGGUUUGUUAAGCAAGAUGUGAAAGCCCCGGGCUUAACCUGGGAACAGCAUUUUGAACUGGCAGGCUAGAGUCUUGUAGAGGGGGGUAGAAUUUCAGGUGUAGCGGUGAAAUGCGUAGAGAUCUGAAGGAAUACCGGUGGCGAAGGCGGCCCCCUGGACAAAGACUGACGCUCAGAUGCGAAAGCGUGGGGAGCAAACAGGAUUAGAUACCCUGGUAGUCCACGCUGUAAACGAUGUCUACUUGGAGGUUGUGACCUAGAGUCGUGGCUUUCGGAGCUAACGCGUUAAGUAGACCGCCUGGGGAGUACGGUCGCAAGAUUAAAACUCAAAUGAAUUGACGGGGGCCCGCACAAGCGGUGGAGCAUGUGGUUUAAUUCGAUGCAACGCGAAGAACCUUACCUACUCUUGACAUCCAGAGAAGCCUGAAGAGAUUUUGGUGUGCCUUCGGGAACUCUGAGACAGGUGCUGCAUGGCUGUCGUCACCUCGUGUUGUGAAAUGUUGGGUUAAGUCCC
rnacentral:rRNA from 1 species